GUUCUCACCCUAUCAGACAGCAAAGGCUGCUCCCAUCUGCUGCCUCAGUCAAGAAAGAACCACACGAAAACUCAGCUCUGCUGCACCGAGAUACAAGUACAAUGGCUUUAAAACAAGCGGAGGAAAAGCAGGUUACUAGUCAACACUUGGUUUCAACAUAUCAAAAGGAUUUUCUCAAAGGCCAAAUUACACAACGUUUGGUCCUACAGAACCAGCGUUUACAACAGACCGAAUGAGAGCUGAAAUCUACUCCACCAACAACCUACCGACCACGUUUUUGUGACCAUUUUAAAUACACUCAACUAAGUGACAAUAAGGAGUCUGAAGUCAAAGCAGAUGAAAGUAAGGAUAUUCACUUCUUAUCCAACGAAGCAUUCAUUGAAGACCCUGUCAGAAGUGCAGCAAGAAAGAAGAUGGUUGCCCGGCAGCCUUCUGUGGCUGAUAGCUUGACUUGGCCUACUUCAUUAAAGUAGGCAUGUUCAAGCCUUGCUUUUAGAACAACAGUAAA